rnacentral:lncRNA from 1 species
GCUUCAGAGAUCACCAUUGACCUGACAAGCAGCAGGAAUCUCAUCUCGUUAAGUGUAAGUGGCACCACAGAUGUAGCUGAACAUGCAGUGACACAGAAGACCUUUUAUGAUUCUGAGGUUUUCUCCAGGAAGCUGGAACUCAGGUGGUACUACAGAGAUGGACUCAGUUAUCUCUCAGGUGAUACUAUGUUUUGGAAGCUUAUUUCCACUCCUGCACUGGACUCAUUAGCUGCACCUCGACCAGCACACCUAAAACAGAAACUCUCAAUAAUUAAGCACAAAACUCACCAAUAAUAAAGCUGUCCCCAGAGAAGGUGCAGAGCAGGGAACUCUGCUUUUGGGAACAUGCUGGUGUGCAGGGAGUGUCAGGAGCGUGACCCAUUU